GCUAGAGCUAGGGAGCUUGAGAAACAGGUCGCUGUGCUUGGGGAAGGUGUAUCCUUAGAAGCUAAACUGUUGAACAGAAAGGAAGCAGCACUACAACGAAGAGAGGCUGCUCUUAAGGCUGCAAAACAAACUAAAGAUGGAAGAGAUGAAGAAACUGCAGCCCUUCUCUCAGAACUUGAGAGCUUGAAAGAGGGAGCAGCUGCAGCUAUGGAACAGUUUCGAGAAGCAGAAUCUGAAGCGAAAGCUCUUCGCACAAUGACACAGAGAAUGAUUUUGACUCAGGAAGAGAUGGAGGAAGUUGUCUUGAAGAGAUGUUGGCUUGCUCGCUACUGGGGCUUAGCUGUAAAGCUUGGCAUUUGUGCUGAUGUGGCUGUAGCAAAGCAUGAGCAUUGGUCUGC
rnacentral:misc_RNA from 1 species